UUCCAGUCAAAGCUGUUUGCUUGCUGAAGCCUUGCACCCCGACUAUAAACAAGUGUGAAGUCUUGCCUAUGAGCGAGUCGAUGCCGCUGAAAUGCUGUUAGCAAUUCUCGUUGUACCAGCAGCCAGACCUGUCUGAAGACAGCUGGCCCACAGAUCAAGGCGCGGUGGCUUCCGUCUUGCCCGUGAUGGAAGCUUUGAUAUGACCGGUCUCAACCGUGAUAGUUUGAGAGCUCAUGUUCCGUAGGUGAACCUGCGGAAGGAUCAUUACCGAGUCAGGGUCUCUCAGGCCCGAAACUCCAACCCUAUGUUUAUCUACCAUGUUGCUUUGGUGGGCCCGUCUUAACUGGCCGUGGGAGGCUUGUCCUCUCACAAGUGCCCGCCAGUAGCCCCUUCAAAUUCUAUAACAGUAAUGUCUAAGUGUAUAUAUUGAAUAAUUAAAACUUUCAACAACGGAUCUCUUGGUUCUG
rnacentral:misc_RNA from 1 species